AGGUUGUUCUGGCUUUCUGGCUGAGCUGAGGAUAAAAGCUAGCAUCUCAUAACCCUUGGGACCGCAGGACGAGUUGGAGCUCACUGUUUACAGACACUGACAUUAGAGGACUGCAAAAAGUCUGUAACAAAGAUUUUUAUGGAAUGUGGAUGUGAAAGACACCGUGUCAGUGGCAAGAGUCCAGAAGUCUCUGAAAGCAGUUCUUCAUGAUGUGCAGCAGUUGCCCUGCUGGGUCACAUGCUUGUGCAGAGCUGUGCUUGUCACCUGGGCAGCCAUGAUCAGCAUCUGCCUGGCCCUUGCACAGAGAGCCUAUUAGCAAGCCAUCUUCCAUACCUGUGAUUCAGGAAGAGGGAGCUAUAUCCAGAAUUCUUUGAACAGGAAAUACUGGACUCAGGAGAAUGCCAAAAGGAGUGAACCAAAGACAUAAGGUCUGCGAAAACCUGUUUCCAGAGUAUAAACUGCAGACCAUUGCAGUUAUGGUGCCUGAAUACAAUCCAGUGGGAAGCAGUCCAGAGUGGCUGGACAUUCAGAAUGACUUCACACAUCCAAAGCACUUCGGCUCCCAAACUGAAAAUGCUUGGAAGACUUUGCACUGAUGGGCCAUAUCUCCAGAGCAGCCCUUGAGGAACUACGUCUAGUUUUAAAUGUGAUUUAUAUUAAGUUCCUGACUACCUAAUUCAAAAUUCAACUUUCAGUGCCUUGGUAAGUAGGCGAUUUGGAGCCUGUAAGGAGUCUGUAUAAAGGAACCUCCAAGACCAUCUAUCUCUGCUAGUCAAGGUUUUAUUGUCUAAAAGGCACUUCAGCAAACCUGUACGGCUGCCUCCCUCAAAUUCACAUUCAGUCUUCAAUCUGUGCAAGCACAGAUGCUGUAAGAUAUUUUCUUGCUUCUCCUCAAUGCUGGAGACCCAAGAUCAGUUAUUCCUCAUUUACAGAACCAACACGUUCACUGAGCAUUUUUGGAGAGACUGGGAAAUAUCCCAAGGAUAAAAGAUUCUGAGCAAGGGACACAAUAAUUGAUCCUCUUAGAAAAAAAGACAAAAUGUGGCCCUUUUCUCUUGCAUCUUGGGUGAGAUUCCCUCCUAAACUAUUAGGGUAGGAUGGCUCCCAGAACUGGGCUCUGAGGAACACCAUUAUUGACCAUCCACCAGCCUCAUUCAGUACAAUCCUUUGAGUUCUACCAUCAAGCCAGUUCAUGUCCCAGCAUACCGUGAACCUGUUCAUUUCACAGUUGGACAGUUUGUCCAGAAGGAUGCUGUGAAUUACAGUAUCAAAGGCAUUACUAAAAUCCAAAAAGAUUAUGUCCCUCUUGCCUUCCCUUCAUCCACCAAGAGGCUGACCUUAUCAAGGAAGAUCAAAUUACUAGGGAGAGAAUAACAAUUUCAUUUCCUCCUAUGACAGAUAAAGGAGAUAAUAUCCUCCUAUUGGAUUAAGAAGAAUAAACUUCCCUGUCAGGAGAAUAUGUGAGGAAAGACCCUGCAGGAUACAAAGAAAAAACGAAAAAUGCUAAGAAAAUCAUCCCAACUUGACAACAAAGCUGUAAUGGAGCAAACUUGCUGCCAUAGGGCUCACUGUGGGAAAUUGGAAGGAUGAGUAAAAACAAAGGCAAGGAUGGGAGGUGGAUUUUCACAGAAUCAGGGCUUCCAUGCACUUCCAGGCAGCACUUGAGGAAUACCAUGGAUUGUCCAGUGUUUGUAAAAGGAAUAGUAUGUAGAUCAGAAUUAAUAGUAGAGAAUUACUUAUUAAACUUGAGUCUGCAAAAUGAAAUCAUGAACUGGAGGCUACAUUGGGGCAUUAAUGAAAAUGGGGAAAAAAGAUCCAAAUCAAGCCUACAUUCCCUUAAUUAAUUCUAUUUUAAUGACUAAAUAGUGAAUAAAUCUUGGUCAUUAUAUAAUGGGAUAAGACACAAAUGUUUUGGCAUUUAGACCCAAAAGCAUUCAAGAACACCUGGAUGUUUCCACAAAGAAAGAGAAAAGGCAUAUGGAGGAGGGCUGAUACAGAUACAGUUCCCUAUGAUAUAGCUGACUGAAAACAUGUAAAAGGCCAGCCAGAGGCCAUUUGUUUCCUAACUGAGAAAAAAUGCAUGCAGAAGUAAUGAGCAGAGGCAGAGUAACAUAAUCCAGUGACCUCAGUAGGUGAAAUUCAAGAUUUGGGGUAGACCAUUUCCCUCCCUGUGAAUUCAAGUGGGGCACCAUUCAUCCCAUGUGUUUUGAAACACAUUAGGAAGGCAAGGGAAUGGCGCUCAGUUGUCACACAUCACCUGGCAAGCAGCAACAGGCAUUAAUUCACAUCCAUGUCUAACUUGAUCUGUGUUUUUUGUUCAAAACUGUGAGUCCUGCCCUCCCUCAAUAAUUUCAGUCUUUCACUGAACACACUGAUUUAUGCUUUCAGAAAUGUGCUAUUUAGUCAAGAAGUUGCUAUCUUCAGAAUCAAAUACAAUGUCUGUGACCUUUUAAAAUGUCUUUAAAGACAAAGGUGAAAUUAUAUUCGUUUGUAAAAAGAAUGGUGGUAUAAUUACUGCUCCUUUAUCAUUCAGUAGCAAAAAUUCUGAUUUGCCUUGCCACAUAAAUCAGAGAAAGGUGAACUGCAAGGGCACUUAAAAGGACCUUCCAAGUCCGACCCUUCUUUGAAGCAAAAUGAAAGAUUCUCAGUCCAUCUCUGAUGAUGAGCAGUUCUAGAAAACAUUUUCCUGUUCCCUGUUUGAGCUUUCUCUCAUUUUUUUCCUCUUUUUUUGCUAACAGAAACUAUUUUGUGCAACAAUGUUUAAUGCCACUACUCCCCUCAUACUUACAUUCUUCUAGUCAUCCAGUGUGCAUUCUUCUAUUUGCUCCCUGCUCAAUUCCCGGCUCAUUUUCAGGCCACAAAAGACCUCUUCUUGCAGCCGUUCUCAUCUCUAAACCCACUUCUCCAUUCUAAACAGUUUGCUGUUCUCUUCUUCAAAAUGAACUAAUUUUUCUAAGCCCUAACCAAUUCCUUGAUCUUGACUUAAAUUAUCUUGCAUUUUCUUCUCCUUAAAGUGGUAAAUUCAAUCCCCCAUAACUAAUCCUUUUAAAAUCCACAUUAAAUUCUUCCCUGUUAAUUAGAAUCAAAUCUAAAGCAGCCAUAACACUUGGCAAUUUCUGUCCUCCAAAACCAGAAGCCCCCUCCAGCACCCUCCAAAGUCUCACAAGUGUCACUGUUGAUGUAAUAUCCUCAGAAAGUCCAAGCAAGUCUUUGGUCUGAAAGACCCAUACUGAAUUUUCCUCUCCAGCAUGGAAGACUCUCUGUUGUCUACAUGUUGUUUCUUUGCCAUUCAUCUCCACAGAACCCCCAGCAGAAAGAUUCUCCUGCUCCUUCAUUACUGGCAUCUGUGUAUGUAUGUCUCUAAUUUCCUGCAAGUUGCCCAUUUGUCUUCCCUACUUUAUUUUUCUUGGUCUCAAGAUAUUUUGGUUCAUGUUUUGUUCUACUUCACAGUUUCUUGUAACCUAGACCCAAACUCUGAUCUAUCAAUCAGAUCCCACCGAUUCCCAGUGGGAACUGAGUUCUCAGAAACCUUCAGCAAUCUGGAAAUGCUAGACAAGGCUCAACAGUGUUUGCAUGUAAUGAAAGAGCAGAUCAGACAGGAUGGAUGUCAGCUUUACUGCUUUAACCCCAGACACUGCUUCUCAUACUGACCACUUGUUCCAUAGAGCAGCUUGUUCUUUGCUGACCCAGACCAUCAAUAUCACUUCAAACAAAUAUUUUGUAGGCAUUUCCAUACUUAUGACCAAAAUGUAGGGUAUCUGGGCUCCUGAUGAUUUCCUAGAAAACUGAUUUUGCUAUCUGGAGCUGUCUGCACAAAGCUAGUAUGAAUUUUCACAUCACUGUACAGUUUCAUAAUGAACUCUAUGAUUUUACAUGAGAGGAAUAUGAAGCAGGAAAAAAAAAUGGAUUUGCUCAUUAGAAGAGGAAUUUGUUGAACAGCAAGGGAAUACCUGGUCAGAUGAUAAACCUUCUUAGAAAGCCCUUCACAACCACAGACACCCGGAUACUCUUAAUUUGCCCUGAUCAUCUUUGCAAUAUGGUUCCUGUGUUGAGUGUUUUAAUGUUCUCAUGCACCAAACUUUACUAGAGAUUCUCACUGUGCUUCUGCUUUGGCCUUUUCACUUCUGCUCCCUCAUUUGCAAAGUUCCUUGCCUUCAUAAAAAGGUGACAAUGAAAGCCAUGUCACCAUUUCUAUUCAUCUGAUCUAUUAUCCCACAUAGAGUCAUAGAAUUCUUAGAGUUGGAAGGGACCUCUGAAGGCCAUCAAGUCCAACUCCCCUGCAAUGAACAGGGACACCACAGCUAGAUCAGGUUGCCCAGGGCCUUAUCCAGCCUUGCCUUGCCUUGAAAGUCUCCAGGGAUGGGGCAUCCACCACGUCCCCAGGCAACCUGUUCCAGGUUAUCUACUUAACCCCACAGUUGCAGCAUUAUUAGGGAGAAACCAGCUAAUUAUCACCAGCUUCUGGUAUUUAUUUGAACACAGAAAACUAAAAUGAUCUAAAAUGCACAAGUGGAAGAAUCUGAAGUGGAACUUAUGGUGAUUCCCAUAUAUACUUAGUAGAGCAGGGUUUCAGAUUUAAGCCUACAGCUUUAAUUUAAACAAAGGAUCCACUGCUUGCUGUUAAUAGGUACCAAACAUUUUUUUGCUCUAAUUGCAAGUUGAUUUAAAAAAACAAAACAAAACAAAACAAAAGACGAUGAGGAGUGUCAAUUGUAAGACACUUACAUGUAUCCCUGUAGCAACAUUCGAGCCCUGAAUUCCUCACAGAUCUAUUUUAGAUUCCUGGAAUACCACAGGGAAAAGCAAGUUGCGUUAUCUGUGCAUUCACUUCAGAGCUUCAACGUGCAUGCAGGCAACUGAAUUACACAGUAUAUCUUCAGUUACAUCACCCACUAAACACUGUGUUGUCUUCUCUAAGUGUUGAUUGUUUUAUCUAGUGCAAAAGUAUAAGAAACGUUCACUACCAAAUGCAGCCUCAGCAUGAAGAAAAUCCUCACCAUUUUCUAUAGCCUUUCACUGCUGCAGUAAAAUUACAUCAACAUUUUAUGGGGGUCAUUUAUCACGUUCUGUGGUCCAUGUUUUCAUUUCUUCUGUGCAUAUUUACAGCCUAAUCUGAGACAUACAGCUCCUAAAAUAUUGACCAGCACAUCUUGAUUUAUUACAGUAGUAUUAUCACGACAUUCAGUUGGUUUUGAUUUAAUACUAUUCAUUGUCCUAUCAAAAACAACUAUGGCACAUGAACAAGCUAUAGAUUUUGGAAAGAUGGAGACUGCUGACAAUAAUGGUUGUUUUGCAUUUCCCUUUCCAAGUGAUUCUUUCUGCUGGUGCAUUUUGAACGAAAAGAGGUCAACAUCUUAUUCAGUCCUUAGAGAGUCCCAUACUAUUUAUUUUUAAGGUUUCCUCACUAUGGCACUCAAUUAGGAUCUCAGAAACUCAAGCCAUUCAUCACCAAGAGAAAAGAGCAAUUUCAGUCCUCCUUAAAGGGUGCAAGUCUUAGAGCAAAGUGCAAACGCUAGAGAUAAAAUGUUUCUCAGUCUAUUACAGUUGAGGAUACAUCAGAACAUAAAUAUAACUCAAUCCUUUUAAGUUGCAAAUUUCUCACUCUGUUGCUGCUUACAGAACAAAUCUCAGAUCAAAUACGUGAGAGCCAGAGGUAAAGUAUCCCUCAAUACACCCUAAUUUAGAAUGUCUCAUAACUCCUGUGCAAAGUGCAAGGUUCAAAAUGCCUUUAGCUCUAAUGUAAAAGGCAGAAAUAGCGGUUAGAAAUGAAGAGUGGGAAUACCUAUUGAGAUUAAAUAGAGCCAUGUCAAUUUCAAUGACACAGGCAAUUAUGAAAGUGACAGGAGGAUAUCAUUUUUAGGAAGCGAUGUGCUCUUUUCUCUGGUCACAUCAGUUCUGGCUGUUGUCCACAAUUUGGGUACUUCAGAAUUCCUUUCAGAGAGCAGGAUGGCUGAAACUCACAGCAGACCUUGUUCCCCAUCCCUCUCACUGCUGUUUACCCCCCAGACAACCACAAUGCUGAGAACACUGAGAGUUUCAGCUAUUUUCCUUACAGAUUUUUUUCUGAAGUGCUGCAACGAGCUUCAGAGGAACUUAUGUUCCAAAGGCCAGAUUUUGUCUCCCAUGACAUGUCAUAACCUAAACUCUUGGUGAGAGGAAAAGAUGCACUGUGGGAGAAUCUGGCAUACAAGGAUAGUUAUGCAUAAUGCAGAUGUAUCAUGAAUUCCAGUGCCACUUCCAAACUGAUGUCAUCUACAUUUUUACUAUAAAAUUGCUGAUGACACUUCUGGUCAUUCGAUUUCUUCUUAAGAAACAGAGUCCCCUUCAUUUUCUACAGAGAGCUAGAACAUUUUGUGAAAUAAACUUGUUCAAAUUUAUUCAGAAAUAGUCCUGAGUAUUUUAACCAUGCAAAAUGGGAACUAGGAGAUGCUUAAUGCAAUGUUUCUCUCUUGUAUCUUGGAAGUCAGCAGAGAAUUCAGCUGCCCAGCAGAUAGGAAGCUAUGUUUCCUUGCCUAUCAGUGUGGGCUGUGUGCUGGAGUAGUAUUUGGUCAGUAUCCUAGGGUGUAUUUGGGAUCUCGCACUGAAAGACCUGUAGCUUUUCUGAAGCUCUGCCUUACAUCAAACUCUCCAGACACAGAAGCUGGGGCACUAGAGGUCUAAUAUGUCAGCACAACUACAUGUCAACACAGCAUAAAGCAGAUUAUACUGUAUGAUUUAGGAAGCUCAGUUACUUAGCAAUGCAGCAAGGGCAUAUAAUAGAUCCUUCGUUUUCCAGUGGAGACAAGAUAAUCUAAUGUAUUUAGAAUAGGAAAAGAUUUAGAUCACAUACUGCAAAUUCUAAGGGGAUAAAAUUACUUUUAAAUUCCUUUCACCUUUCCCUCAAUGUUUGUGACUUGAACUCUCAUAAAAGAAAGGUAUAUUUCUUACUGCUUUUCAGAGAGUUCCCCUAUUAAACCUAGUUUUGGCACAGCCAGGAAUAAAACUCUAGUUUUCUGUGUAAUCAGUGGUCAGUAGCUAAAAGAAAACCAUUCUGUGGGGAAAAAAAAAGCACUGUCUUCAUCAUUUUGCAUGCUUGAAAGCCACACAAAAACUCCACAAUUCCUAGUAUGAAGACUGUAUUAUAGGAACCUAUGUUUUCACUGCAGAUUCCAAAGUAACAUCACCACAUUAUAUCAUGAAUUCUUAUAUCAUGAAUAUUGAUCAGCUUUCCAAGUAAUCAAAGCCAAAUAUGCUUUGCAUACCUGAAUAUGCAACAACACUGUCCAAGAUCAUAACCUAAACCACAGGCCAAGAAAAGCAGUCAUUUGUAACUCACAGGUGAUGUCUUUCUUCUCACAGAUGCAUCAUCAGUAGCUGAUUUAAUACACACAUGAUUUAUUACAAAUUGCAUACAUACAUAGGUAAAUGAAAAUUCACCAGUAAAUUCCAGUAUUUGGGGAUUUGAUUCAUCCUGCAUCAUUAUUCCAGGGUUGAUGGUCUGCAAUAUGGGAAAUGAGCGCUGGCAGAGGACGUAGCCCAAGGACUAGAGCUGGUGCUUGAAGCACCUUCGCUCACAGUUCUCCUAAGAGACUUCAGAUGAAAUUUAAAAAUCAAGAAUUCCACGGCUAAUUUAAUUUCAGAAAGAAACCAUUACCUACAGCCUACUAGAAUUAGCAUCAUUUUAUCUCGAAGCUGUGCUAACACUCUUGCAUAGGCACACACAGCCCCAUUUUACCUGCACAUACAUAUACACUUUCUUUGACCUCCAGACUUCAUUUCUCAGUAACACCGAUCACAGUGUGCCAAUUUAGCGUGCACUCUGUGCAGGCUGUGUGGGGAUGUGUAUGAAUGGGUAUGGGUAGUGGUUUGUUUGUCUAUUUGGCUUUUAUGAAAACAGAUAUGAAUAAUAAUAAGAGCUUUGCACGUGGCACCUUCUGGGUCCUCUGAACCCUGUUCCUUGGAAUAACUUUAUUUUUAUUGGUGUUAAUUCUCACUGCUCCCCUUUCACACUUCUCACCUCCCAGUGUUAACUGUCAGGAUGGCCCGUGCAGGCAUGACAGCAUCAGAGUGGUAUUAGAUAAGAAAGCAAUUUUUACAUACCUCUGUGUUUUCUCUAGCCUCUAGAGCUUUUUUGUUGGCUGUCACAGAUUUCACUGGCAAGCAAUAAAUUCAUCAGCAAUAUUUGAAAGAAGGAAAAAAAAACAAAUGAUGCUUUUUACAGAAAAAAAUAUCUAUAGGAAAGUUAAUGCCAACAUAAACAGCCAGUCAUAGGUCUAUUAACGGGCUUCACUGUCACCUUCAAAUCUGGGCUCAACACAGAGAAUGCAUGUGCUACAUGCAUCAGCAGAGAGACCAUAUCAGCAAACUGGUUUCAGGAUGACUCAGUCUUAUGCAGACAGAGUAAGAACUCUAGAAUCAUAGAAUGAGAGAGUCAUAGAAUCAUUAAGGUUGUAAAAGACCGCUAUGAUCAUCUAGCCCAAUGGUCAAAUCAUCACCAUCAUGCCCACUAUGUCCCUCAAGCCACAGUAGUAUCAGCUGGCAGAUGUACACCUAGCCAAAAGCAUUACUGAUCCUUCUUGCAGCUUCUCUACUUGGUUCCUUACUUGAUCUUUGUCACGACAAAGUUGUUUGCAUUGAGUCUUAGUCAGCUUGCUUUCGUCUGUCCCCAGAUACAGCUCUUCAUUGAACACCACCUGAGAGAUGAGAUGCUAUUGCCCUGGUUAGUUGAUGCAGAACCAUAUAAAUCAUCCUUAAUGCUAUGGUUCUUUCCAUAUUACUUCAAGUUCCUUUCAGAACAGGAGGUGGUACUUUGCAACAUCUUUUUCUCUAGAAUUUGCACCUUUCCUCUGAUGAGAAACAAAUAUCCUUGUUUUAUCAAUAGAUUCCAGAAUCUAGAAAUAAUAGGAAAACACCAAAUAUCACAGAGUUUCCAUUAAACAGAUACACUGUACGAGGACUACAUGACUUUAACUGUACUGAAAAUAGGUCAUCUUGCUAAAGAAGCACAUUAUGUAUCUAAGAAUAAAUCUCUUGAGAUCAAAACCUUUGGUAAAAUGAGUAGUGUUGCCAGUCUCUGGUGCUCAGAUAAAUCAUACAUUGGCUUUCAAGGUUUGCAGAACAGUUCCAUGAAAAGUUAUUGCCUGAUUCCUUGCCUGAGAGAGAAUCUAUACACAUCACAUUUGCUGUUCAAUUCCACAAACAUGUGAAUGCCUGUCUGCUAUUUUGAUUUUUAAAAAUAAUAUACUUCUACAAUCUUAUAUGACAAUAAACAGAUUGCAUGUAAAGCAGGCUACGUCAAGCUUUUCAGAUGUUUUUUAAUUAAUACCUCAAAAUGACCAUGACUUGAUCAAUAACAUGUUAGUGCUGUCAUCAGUAAUUACAGGCCUGGAUGUAUUAUUAGUAAAAUGCUGUGUACACAAAGUACAGUUGCAUCUGACAGUGAAGUCAGUGAGCUCCUCAGAAAACACAGAAUUUUAAGCAGGACUACUUAUCAAUUUGUGCUUUCUCCAUUUUGCUAUCCAAGAUAGGAGAAACAAUCCAUAAAUCAACUCAUGUGAUAUCUGCCUAAUAGAAGGGAAGCGAGGCAACAUGCAGGGAGGGAGAAAUUGCUUUGCACGUAAAUGAAGAAAGGAAGGAAGUGGUCUUUGAAAAAAUAAGAAAAGGAGGUCUCUGCAGGAGGUGACAGUAAGUUGCCUGUCAAGAAAAAAAUAAUCUUCAAAUGAAAUAUGAUGGAAAUUUCACUGUCUAUAGAAACUUAUCCCUUAAUCUCUCCAGCCUGCAUCCACUAAAGGGACAGAGUGCUUCAUGGAGAGGCAAACACUGGUACCUGGGCUGGGUUUGUUCAGAUGCUCAGUAAAACAACCUGUGUAUGUGGUAUAGAUGAAUAAUUCAUGAUAAAGGUACAACCAGACAUCAGGUCUUAUUUCUCCUCUAAUGGAAAAUUAAACUGCAUGGCUACAAUUUUGUUUUAAUGGCCGGCAGGAGAAAGGGCAGUAAAAAGGGGAAAGAAAGAAUGAGAGAUGAGGGAAGUCAUCAAUAUGGAUGCUGACAAACACAUUUUCACAAAGCUGAUUACAGCUUCAUUCCCAUGCACAGUACAGACUGAGGGUAGUUUGUCCAUGCUGGGGUAAAAAUAAAAGUUGGAUUUCCCUUCCAAAACCUAUGCCUAAAGUAAUUCUUUUUUAAAAAAGUGCCUUUACAGACAGUAUAGACAUGAGAUUUGUAUAGACGCCUGGUUAUUUAUGACUUAAAAGCAAUACAGAAGGCCUAAGACUUGAGGGAUACUGAGAAGCAACUUGGUUGUUGUCCUUGGUAAUGUUGAAGAGACCAUGUAGGACUACUGUUAGUCAUUACCACUUUAAAAACAUGUUUCAGUCAACAUUUAUGUGUAGCGUGAGAGACACCCAGGUCCUCAAUGCUUGGUGAGAUCUGCUGAUUUUCCUUCCGCCUCAUCAAAACUGCUGUGCUAGCAAGCACUCCAUUGACUUGCACAACUACAGAACUAAAAAAGGAUAGUGAUGAGAUAAGCAUCAGAGUUUAAGGUCAGCUGUAUUGCUACAGAUUUAUUUAUUUAUUUAUUU
ensembl:lncRNA